GACGGCUGUCUGUGCUGGGUCCCUGGCUGUGUGGGCUGCUUGUGGUGGGCCAUGUAGUCCUUACGUUUUUCCUUAGAUUAAAUGUGUCAAGGUGGUUUGUCAGGGGUGAGAUCUGUUCACAGUGGGUCUCUGUCAACUGACCCCACUCACUAAACUCUCUGGCUUUUGGAAGUUCCCAGAGGUGCUGGCGAAUGGUAGAGAGACCCUAAGGGGAGAUUAGCUGGACUUUGUAAAUGGGACAAAGUCCAGAAACAACUGAGCUGCAGAUGUCCUAGUCAGCCCUACCUGUGUUUCCAGCUUAUGGCCCAAGUUGUACCAUUCCGUAGAGUAACCAUACCUGUGGGCCCCUCAUCACAUCAUUCCUGGAAAUUGUGCUAGCAUGUAGCUGACGUCCCAUGUGGCUUUACUGACCUCUGCAUGUAGCAUCAGCACCAACCAGGUGGCUUCUGUGAGCAGUCAGUGAUGGGACCAGGCUGCCAACACCGAGCAGAUGCUCAUGGCAGCUGCUGAUGAGCACAGCCACCUUUAUGGCACUGAACAUUGUUCCACCUAAGAGCAGGCGAGUGUUGGCUCGAGACAGCUGGCUGGUUUCUCCCUGGAGAAUAAACAGUGCAGAUAGCAGCACGUCUGUCUUGUUUGCAUGUCUGCCGUAAAGCAGGGCAGACUUCUGCAGACACCCUUGCAGCAGUGAAUUUUCAGGUCUGAGCAACUUGGUGUUGUUCAGACCGGACUGAUGUGUUGCCCGCACUGUGGACAGAGGUGAAAGGAUCAGCUGGCAUUAGAUUCUGGUGGGUAAUUCCAUACCUCUCCUCCUGUUGCAUGCAUCGAAUUAAACAUCUGAAGCUGGAGGCUGACUAGGUGCCAUCUGCAGGAAAGAGACAUGGACAUUUGCUGUGUCACUUGUGCUUGUUCCACAGAGAUGUCCUAAUGGUGAAAUAGAUAGUGUGUGCAAAAGAAUCUCCCUGGGGCUCUGGAUACGAGUCUGGUAGCCUUUCAGAGCAGCAGAGCAAAGUGGCAGACAGAACCUUCCAUCAAGUAGGUGGCUAGGCUUGUGCUCACUGGAGGUCAUGGGGUGUUAGUGCAAAAAGAGGCUGACUAUAUCGGGCCCCAAGUUAGGGUUAAGGAAAAUGAUCCCGGUUUAUACAGCACAAGUCUGAUUUAAAAUGAUUUCUCUGCUGUUUCUUGGGCUGUGUCUUUUGUUGGCCUGGAUCCUGCUUAUCCUUGAGCCUCCAACUUGGGCUUUUUCUAGCCGAGAAACUUUCCUAAAGAGCCCAUCUCUUCCUUCUGCCUAACUUUCCCACCCUGAGACCCCGCUUCUCCUUCAUGCUGGCCUUGGCUUCCCCUUCAGUUGUUGCUGCCACGUUGUGCUGUGGUUUGCAGUGAGACUCUUCUCUGGCCUGGCUUUUCAGGGCCAACACUCAUCAUUCUCAUCUGUGGGUGGCUUGGUGUUGUGCAGGGUGCUCAGGGACAUGUGGUGAGUGUGCAGAAUCAUGCUUUGUGGCUGACACACAUACAUGCAGGUCCUUACUGGCUCAAAGAAUCACUCACUUCUGAGAGGGGCUGAUGAUAAUCCUGCAACAGUGGACCUGGAGAGGGUUGUUGCCUCUGCUGCUUCUUAGUGCUACUGUUCUCUGGGCUUACAUGUCUAAGAAUAUUCAGCUUUCAUCUCAUGUGAGCACCAUGAGACCAGCCUAUUUUCAGAAAGAACUGACAGUUAACCUGGGAAUAAGUGCUUAAACUCUUUGUAACUUGCCCUGUCUAGAACCUGCAUAAAUAGUAGUGAGGUCCUUCCUUGUGCAAAGAAUUGAGGAACUAGUGACAGGCACUGCCAGAAUCAUAUUUUGAGGAAGCACAGGAGCUGUCGGGGCUCUAGUUGUGCCAUUGUCUGAGCACAUGGCCAACUUCUUCUGGCUUCCUGUUUCUGUGGUCUCUGCUGCUUCUUAUACCUCAGCCUUCAGGGUGGUGCUCCACUAGUACAACUGUGUAAUAGCAAGUGUGAUUGUGCCAGUAGAAGAUUAAAGAUGCUUUAGGAGCAUGUCUGUUUUAGUCAGAAAGCUGUAGCUGUUGCCAAACAUGGUGAUCCUGACUGUCUUUUUAGAGUCAUUUUCAUGUAACUUUCUGAGUUACAUGAAGUUAUGCUGAAGAAUCCCUUUGUCACAGUGGCCUCUCGCCACUCCCUCACUGACAUUUUCUGGUUGAGAUCCUAGAGGUCAUGCAUGGGGUAUGUUACGGUUUAUGUCGAGAUGUCCCCCCAGAGCCUCAUGCAAUCACAGGGUUUGUUUUGGAAGUGACUGUAUCUAGAGUGUGUGAUGCUGGGUUUAAGGCUGUGUGAUACUGGUUGGUUUGACAGCGCCCUAAUCCUAGCAGCCUAGAGUGUAAAAUGGUCAGAAAGAUGCUAUUAAGGCUGCUUGCUUGCUGUUGCUAUCUUCUGCUGCUCUGAACUUUUGCCCCUGUGCCAUGCACAACCCUGUCUCGGAACCAGCUAUGGACUGAAACCUCUACAAUGUGUGAGCUUUCUUCCUUUAACUUUGGGUGUCAGGUAUUUUAUCUCAGCAACAAGAAAAAUAACUUAAGAUUGGCCACCUGCCGAGCCUCACUGAUGUGCUGAACACUGCCCAAGUGGCCAGACCCAGCAUCUACCAGUCAGCUGUUGGCCAUGAAUAUCAGUUGAAACUUGCUAAGCACUGCUCUCAAGUCGACUCGGUCCGGGGUUUUGGAGGCAAGUUUGGUGUCCAGAUGGACAGAGUUGACCAGAGUGCGUCGACCUUUGAAGGUGUGGCACAGGUAUCGUCUGCCUACUAGAAG